GAUCCCAAACAAAUUAAAUUAUCAUUUGGAUCGCGUUUCGUUCAAUCACGGUUCAACUUGUUUUAUUUCAGCCGACGUAUUAUAUAUAUUAGGGACUUUAAGAUUGACGUUUACGGCAAACCGCAAACGGCAAACUUCAAAUCGUAAUUUGAAGUCAACUGUUAGCUGUUCGAAUUUAGAGCAACUUGUGCAUAAAAAUUAACAAUUAUAACUACAUCAGUAAUUAUAAUCAAAAUCGAAUCUGCAUGCGAUAGCUUUUAUAGCUUUUACGUUACAUGAAAUCAAACCGAGUCCAGUGCUUUUUGGGACACCG